AGGACGAACGCUGGCGGCGUGCCUAACACAUGCAAGUCGAACGAGGUCCAACCGGUAGCAAUACCGGUGAAGAUCAAGUGGCGAACGGGUGAGUAGCACGUGAGCAACCUGCCCCGAAGACCGGGACAACACCGGGAAACCGGUGCUAAUACCGGAUAUCCCCACUGAGUCGCAUGGCUCGGUGAGGAAAUGGAUUCCGCUUCGGGAGGGGCUCGCGGCCUAUCAGCUUGUUGGUGAGGUAACGGCUCACCAAGGCUUCGACGGGUAGCUGGUCUGAGAGGACGAUCAGCCACACUGGGACUGAGACACGGCCCAGACUCCUACGGGAGGCAGCAGUGGGGAAUCUUGCACAAUGGGCGCAAGCCUGAUGCAGCAACGCCGCGUGAGGGACGAAGGCUUUCUGAGUUGUAAACCUCUUUCAGCAGGGACGAUUGUGACGGUACCUGCAGAGAAGCCCGGCACUACGUGCCAGCAGCCGCGGUAA
rnacentral:rRNA from 1 species